rnacentral:lncRNA from 1 species
UAAUGUUAAGAAGCUACAUAAACAUCAACAAAGUCUUUUCCUGCUUCAGCAAAUACAACUUUGUCUGUUUCUGUGUCUACGAGAAGCUUCAACAACACUGGCUCAUCUGUUUUGUCAUUAGCCAUGGAAGAGAGAAGUUGGGAGUUUGAAAUUUAAAACGCUGAUAAAAAUGUUUCUUUUGACAGUUCCAAGCAAUGCUGAUACGAUGGGUGGCACAAUGGAUUUUAACAACGUUUUUAAUGUCAAUUCUUGUGCAAUUGGUAUUUGAGUUCUUGGAAAAAUAAAAUGAUAGUGAUCACUUAUGGCUUGCCUUAAAUUGCAUUUGGAAGACCAUAAUUUAUUUAUUUUUGACUCAAUGUUGGGAGUGAGGGUACUUGUGCAUUUAACAUUUCCCCAUUCAGAUAAAUAGUGACUUUUUUUAAGGCAAAUAUGAAUAUAUAAAUAAAUAAAGGUGUCAAAAAGGAUUACAAGUGGCACAAGUUAGAUCUAAAAAUUGGUGAAAGUUUGAGUUCUGCUGAAAAAAAAAUCAUCAUAGCAAGGAGUUUAUGCCAAGGGUGUCUACCUCGCAAAAUAAGUGAGGUUGCCAGGAGAUUAACGUCUCGCAAUUCGUCGCUGCUGCAUGUUGGAGUGGGGUAUUUUUGUUAAAUGAUGUAAUUUAUUUCGAGUUAGUUUCCUUUGCAUUUAAGUUUUAUGUGAGUUUACGUUUGAAUUUGAAUUUGAAUUGAAUUUGGAUUGAAUUUGGAUGAAUAUAUAAGUCCAAAUGAAUUGCACAUGUAACAAAAUUUUGCAUUUUUGAGAAAGUUCAAAGUUAGUUACUAUUUCAUUCUUUCUUUUUAUAUGCAACUGCUCUUUAUCUUCUUCAUCUUUUUGUGCAUUGUUAAUGGAGGUUUAUUGUUGAAGUCCAACAAUUGGUAUCUAGAGCUGUGCAUUGUUAAUGGAGGUUCAUUGUUGAACUCCAACAAUUGGUAUCUAGAGCUCUGUUUUGAUUUAUAGGGAAACACUAGUGUAGCGAGGUAUGUGAUUGAUUUCGUUUUAGAAAUUCGUGUCGAAUUGAAAUUUGAAAUCAAAGAGAAUUGCAAAUCUCGAUUCUCAGGGUUUGGGAAACACGAGUGUUGGUGAGAACUGAGUGAUUUGCACAAGAGCAAAGAUGAACGACGAAAACAGUAGCUUGAACACAAAGUUUCUAGUAUUCAACGGAAAGAACCGGAAUCGAUGGUCGAUUCAGAUGUCUGUGUUGUUUAUAUCUAUUUGUAAAAAAAAACUCAAUCACUUCCAUGUAACUUGUACCAACAAAUCAUUCAUUAAACAAAACUAUAUCUAUAUGUAAGUUUUUUUCAAUCUCUUUCAUUUUGUCAUUAUUUUCUUGAUUCUUUUUCUCUUCAACCAUUUGUAUUUGGCGUUUUUGUAGAUUUUUCUCUUCAACCAUUUGCAUUUGAUGUUCUUGUAGAUUUAACUUCAACCAUUUUUUCAAAAAAUUAUGCAUCAAAUUGUUAGAUGUGAUCAAUUGACUCUUUUUCAUGCUGCGAGGUGUUGGUCAAUAUCUCCAUGUUCAACAUAUAAUAAGUUAAACAAUUAUAUAUUAAAAUAUUAAUUUAAAAAGUGUUUGAAUCACUUAAAUUCAAAUAUUAGAAAAUAACAAAUGAAAAAACUAUAAAAACUUGAAGUAAACAUGUAAGGUAUAAAAAACUAUAAAAACAUAUGGAGCAGAAUAUGAAAGCCACCAAUAAAAAUAUAUAUUAAAUACUCGAGAGAUCAAAUAAAAAAAAUAUUGUCUAAAUGAAGUAUAAACAGUUUUGUGUAUCUACUUCACUUCAGAAAUUCAAUGUUGACUUUUACUCCACAUGUGAAAGAACACUUCUACUCCACAUGUGAAAGAACACUUCCAAGUUGGUUAGUAUUGCCAUGUUAUCGCCAGGUGCUCUAACACAGUUUUAUUAACACUCGGUAUGAAAGCAUACAAGUUGUAAGUGGAGGUAAUCAAAGUCAAAAACUACUUAUAAAUGAUUUUCAAAACACAUUGAAAGGUAAUAGGGUUGUAAAUUCCAAGAGAUAGAAUAAGAGACAAAUUAAGGUAAUCAAAGUCAAAAACUACUUAUAAAUGAUUUUCAAAACACAUUGAAAGGUAAUAGGGUUGUAAAUUCCAAGAGAUAGAAUAAGAGACAAAUUUAAGGUUCCUUUCUUAUCGAAACUUACCUCCCGUCUGUUACCACCAUCACCGUCGUCGAAAUCACCAUGGAUUCACAGGUUUCACUAUAUCUCCAUUUCCUGUUUUAUUGUCUUCUAUUACAAUUGAUAAUAAGAAAAAUGUAUUUUAUCACGCAAAGUGUCAUCACUCUUUAAUUUAAUUAACACAUGACAUUCACUUAUAGUACAAUGCAAUGGACUUGCUCCAAGCACAAGUUUUUGCAUAUUCAAGUGUUUUUCUUGCUUUUAAUCCUACCAUCUAAAUGUUUUUUCAUUAUAAACUUGAGUUUAGGAAUAAAAACUUUUAUCAGUAUUUUGUCAAAAAAAGUGAGUACAUAACUAGCAUAAUAAACCAUGCAGAGGGAGCUCACUUAAUCAUCUACAAGAAAUGAAUACCAUAUCUAAAGUGUAGAAAGUCACACACCUUUAAAUUAAAUUGUUAGAGCCUAUUAUGCACCAAUAACUACUGCACAACAUCACUUAAUAUCACAUACUGCAAUACUUUCUAGAAAAUAACUAUUAACUAUUGCACCAAUAACUAUUGCACCCAAAACAAUGAAGCAACUGAUAUUCAAGUUCAACACUAUAGGUUAAUUUCCAUUCAAGCAAACAAUGAAACUCUAAAUUCAAUCUUACAUUCAAGCAAUAUAGAGAGAGGUAUGGAAAAAUACUAACCGAUUUGUGUCAAACUUGCAAAUGAAUAUAUCAUCCAUAAAGAUGUAGUCAGAUUCUAAGAAGAUGAACUAGGCGUUUGUCGGUGAACCGUCGAGCCAUUACGAGCGAAGAAGGGGAAGAUUCGCGCGAAUAGGUUUCGGGUGUUUGGGUGAGAGUUGUGCGGUUCUGGAUUCUGGUGAAAUUCCUUCGUCGUGCUUUGCGUUUUGGAGAGGUUAAAGGUUGUGAAAAUGGGUUAUUCCUUCGUCGUGCUGUGCGUUUUGGAGAGGUUAAAGGUUGUGAAAAUGGGUUAUUUAUGUU